UACAGAGGCCUCGAGCGUUAGGCGGAAUCACUGGGCUUAAAGCGUGUGUAGGCGGACUUCUAAGUACCUUGUGAAAUCCCACGGCUUACCCGUGGAACUGCUCGGUAUACUGGUUGUCUUGAGCCACCUAGGGGCGAGUGGAACAAAUGGUGGAGCGGUGAAAUGCGUAGAUAUCAUUUGGAACGCCAAUGGUGAAAACAGGUUGCUGGGGGUGUGCUGACGCUGAGACACGAAAGCCAGGGGAGCAAACGGG
rnacentral:rRNA from 1 species